rnacentral:misc_RNA from 1 species
AUUUAAUAUUCUCUCAUUGGAGUGGAUCUCUUGUCUCAACAAAUUUCGCUUGGAACUGAAAACUUGCCUGGCUCAUGAACUUGGCCAAUUCCACACGCUUGGUUCAAAAAUUCGAUUUUAAGCUUAUUUCCUUGUUGAAAUCAUGCAAACAAACAUCUCAAAUCUCUCAAAUCCAUGCCUUUAUGGUCAAAAUUGGUAUCGAUCAUGGCCAUUUCGCUAUAAGCAAGCUUCUUGCAUCUUCAAUACAAGACGUUAAUUAUUCAGCCUCAAUCUUCAACCAUAUACAAAACCCAAAUCUCUUCAUGUUCAAUACCAUGCUCAGAGCCUAUUCUGUUUGUGAUGACCCAAAAAAAGCUUUUGUUGUUUUCGAUAACUUGAGGGCUGAAGGGAUCGCACUCGACCAGUUCUCUUUCAUUACAAUUCUUAAAGCUUGUGCUCGUGAACUGGCUGUUAAGACAGGUCAGGGGAUCCAUGGGAUUGUUAUGAGAUCUGGUCAUGUGAUGUUUAUUAAUGUAAAGAAUACACUCUUGCAUUUUUAUGGCGUUUCUUGCGGAAUUGGGGAUGCCCGUAAGUUGUUUGAAGAAUUUCCUCAAGAGAAUGAUUUGGUUUCUUGGAAUGCUUUGAUGGGUGCUUACCUCCGAGCAUCUCAGCCUGCUGAGACGAAAGAAUUGUUUAAGCAAAUGUUUAGUUGUGGUUUGAGGGUGAAUGCGGCCACAUUGUUGACUGUUUUGUCUGCUUUUGCUGAUUUAGGAGAUUUACUUGGAGGAGAGUCUGUUCAUGCGCGUUGCAUCAAGAUUGGCUUUUGUUCAAAACUAAAUGUGGUUACGGCUUUGAUUGAAAUGUACGCUAAAACAGGAGAUAUUGAUUCAGGACGUAGAAUUUUUGAUGCAGUUGUUGAAAAGGAUGUUGUUCUAUGGAAUUGUAUGAUAGACAAGUAUGCAAAAGCUGGGCUGCUAGAAAAAGCUAUGUCUUUAAUGCAGAUCAUGAAACUGGAAGGAGUGAAACCAAAUUCAUCUACAUUGGCAGGGCUGCUUGCGGCUUGUGCUGCCUCUGGAUCAAUAAAAUUAGGUCGGCGUCUCAGUUAUUAUGUGGAAGAGGAGGGAUUGGAAUUGGAUGCAGUUCUUGGGACUGCUUUGGUUGAUAUGUUUUCUAAAUGUGGGUUUUUGGACAAGGCUAUUCAAAUUUUUGAGAAGAUGGAAAGCAAAGAUGUAAAAUCUUGGACGGCCAUGAUUUUAGGUUAUGGAGUUCAUGGGCAAGCAAGAAAUGCUGUUGAUCUCUUCUACAGGAUGGAGGAGGAAGGAUUUAGACCCAAUGAAGUUACUUUCUUGGGAGUUUUAAGCGCUUGUAGCCACGGUGGAUUGGUGAUAGAAGCGAUGAAAUGUUUUGAGAGGAUGGUUCAAGUAUUUGGCUUUUUACCAAAGAUUGAGCACUAUGGAUGUAUGAUUGAUCUUUUAGGGCGUGCAGGCUUACUAGAGGAAGCGUAUGACCUGAUCAAAAGAUUGCCCAUUAGGAGCGAUGGCACUGCUUGGCGUGCAUUGCUUGCAGCUUGCCGAGUGUAUGGAAAUGUUGAACUAGGGGAACGUGUGAAAAUAAUGCUGGUUGAUAUAGAUGAUCAACACCCUACUGAUUCGAUUCUUCUUUCCAAUACUUACGCCAUUGUUGGAAGGGUGCCAGAUCGCAGCAAAUGGCAGGAAAUGGAAGUACACAGGAUAAAUGCAAACACCAGAAAUAGGCCAGUAGAGAGAAAAGAAAGGACAGGGAAGGAAGCUGGAUGCAGCGCAAUUGAAAUUGAUGGUUACUGGUUAGAAGGUGGCUGAGGGCUGCGACGAAAAGGUGCUCAGCGUCAUGGGGUACCAGACCCAGCGGAGGGCAGGCUCGGCCUUGAAUUGGACCGGGACCGGCUUGGGUCAAUGGUUCUGGGCCUUGAACCGGGGUUAGGGAGGCCGGUUAAAGGCCCCUUGAACCUAGUGCAUAAUCAGCCAGUUCAAAGUCAGCGAUUCUGAGCCGGAAUCGGCCCAAUUUAUUUUUUUUAAUUUAUAUUGAAUUUAUAUUUAUAUUUUUUUAAUUUUUUAAUUAGAAACUAAAUUAUUUAAUUUAUAAAUGAUGUCAAAAAAAUUUAUUGCAGUUUGAUAAUAUGAAGA